rnacentral:rRNA from 1 species
AGAUUGAACGCUGGCGGCAUGCCUUACACAUGCAAGUCGAACGGCAGCACGGGAGCAACCCUGGUGGCGAGUGGCGAACGGGUGAGUAAUAUAUCGGAACGUGCCCAGUCGUGGGGGAUAACGCAGCGAAAGCUGUGCUAAUACCGCAUACGAUCUCUGGAUGAAAGCGGGGGACUCGCAAGAGCCUCGCGCGAUUGGAGCGGCCGAUAUCAGAUUAGCUAGUUGGUGGGGUAAAAGCCCACCAAGGCGACGAUCUGUAGCUGGUCUGAGAGGACGACCAGCCACACUGGAACUGAGACACGGUCCAGACUCCUACGGGAGCAGCAGUGGGAAUUUUGGACAAUGGGCGCAAGCCUGAUCCAGCAAUGCCGCGUGCAGGAAGAAGGCCUUGGUGUAACUGUACUUUGUACGAACGAACGUCGUAGGUUAAUACCGU